UACAGAGGUCUCAACCGUUGUUCGGAUUCAUUGGGCGUAAAGGGUGCGUAGGCGGUCGCGCAAGUCGGAUGUGAAAUCUCAGGGCUCAACCCUGAAACUGCAUUCGAUACUGCGUGGCUAGAGUGCUGGAGAGGAGACUGGAAUUCCUGGUGUAGCGGUGAAAUGCGCAGAUAUCAGGAGGAACACCGGUGGCGAAGGCGGUUCUCUGGGCAUUACCUGACGCUGAGGAGCGAAAGUGUGGGGAGCGAACAGG
rnacentral:rRNA from 1 species